UACCAGACUCCUACGGGAGGCAGCAGUGGGGAAUAUUGCACAAUGGGGGAAACCCUGAUGCAGCGACGCCGCGUGAGUGAAGAAGUAUUUCGGUAUGUAAAGCUCUAUCAGCAGGGAAGAAAAUGACGGUACCUGACUAAGAAGCCCCGGCUAACUACGUGCCAGCAGCCGCGGUAAUACGUAGGGGGCAAGCGUUAUCCGGAUUUACUGGGUGUAAAGGGGGCGCAGACGGCAGCGCAAGCCAGGAGUGAAAGCCCGGGGCCCAACCCCGGGACUGCUCUUGGAACUGCGCGGCUGGAGUGCAGGAGGGGCAGGCGGAAUUCCUGGUGUAGCGGUGAAAUGCGUAGAUAUCAGGAGGAACACCGGCGGCGAAGGCGGCCUGCUGGACCGCGACUGACGUUGAGGCUCGAAAGCGUGGGGAGCGAACAGGAUUAGAUACCCCAGUA
rnacentral:rRNA from 1 species